AAAGAAGAAGAGAAAAAGAAAAAAGGAAAGAAAAAUCUGAAGAAGCAAUUAGAAAAGAAGAAAAUUAACCAAGUUUUUGAUAAACACCAUUUCUCUUGCUUUU
rnacentral:ribozyme from 1 species